UCCUCUCUUCAAUUAUUAUUUGGUUGAUCCAACUACUUGGCUUAUUAUCACUCUUCUCUACCACACAUGGAUAGGAUUCCACCAACAAAUCUAGCAACACAUCCAAAUGGAAUGGAAAGUACAGCAACAAACUUUCUAGCAUAUUCAGUGGGAUCUCACAUAAUUUCAUUGCUGGUGGAAUAUUAUGUAGUCAUCAACAUCCUAAUACCAGUAGGACAUCACGUAGUUAUUGUCAUCCUAGGCCC
rnacentral:lncRNA from 1 species